rnacentral:rRNA from 1 species
GAUGAACGCUGGCGGCGUGCCUAACACAUGCAAGUCGAACGAACACACGAUGAGCUCUUUCCCCUAACGUUAGCGGCGGACGGGCGAGUAACACGUGGAUAACCUUCUUAUUUUUCUGGGAUAAUAUCGGGAGACCACAUCCACUACUAGAUAAUACAUCCAACCGCAUGAUUCAAUGGUGAUUGACGCCUUUCCUGUCUCUUAUAGAUGGUUCCGCGUCGCAUUAGCUAGUUGGUAAGGUAACGGCUUACCAAGGCAACGAUGCGUAGCUGACCUGAGAGGGUGAUCAGCCACACUGGAACUGAGACACGGUCCAGACUCCUACGGGAGGCAGCAGUGGGGAAUCUUCGACAAUGGGCGAAAGCCUGACGCAGCAACGCCGCGUGAGUGAUGAAGGUCUUCGGGUCGUAAAACUCUGUUAUUAGGAAAGAACAGAUGUAUAAGUAUCUAUGCACGUCUUGACGGUACCUAAUGAAAAAGCCCCGGCUAACUACGUG